GAUGAAGAACGUAGCGAAAUGCGAUAAGUAAUGUGAAUUGCAGAAUUCAGUGAAUCAUCGAAUCUUUGAACGCACAUUGCGCCCGCCAGUAUUCUGGCGGGCAUGCCUGUUCGAGCGUCAUUUCAACCCUCAGGGCCUUUUUGGACCUGGCGUUGGGGCUCGGCCGCUACCCUGCGGCCGUCCCCGAAAGAUAGUGGCGGUCUCGCUGUAGCCUCCUCUGCGUAGUAGUUACAUCUCGCACUGGAACGCGGCGCGGCCAUGCCGUUAAACACCCCACUUCUCAAGGUUGACCUCGGAUCAGGUAGGAAUACCCGCUGAACUUAAGCAUAUCAAUAAGCGGAGGA
rnacentral:misc_RNA from 1 species